GACGAACGCUGGCGGCGUGCUUAACACAUGCAAGUCGAACGGAAAGGCCCUGCUUUUGUGGGGUGCUCGAGUGGCGAACGGGUGAGUAACACGUGAGUAACCUGCCCUUGACUUUGGGAUAACUUCAGGAAACUGGGGCUAAUACCGGAUAGGAGCUCCUGCUGCAUGGUGGGGGUUGGAAAGUUUCGGCGGUUGGGGAUGGACUCGCGGCUUAUCAGCUUGUUGGUGGGGUAGUGGCUUACCAAGGCUUUGACGGGUAGCCGGCCUGAGAGGGUGACCGGCCACAUUGGGACUGAGAUACGGCCCAGACUCCUACGGGAGGCAGCAGUGGGGAAUAUUGCACAAUGGGCGGAAGCCUGAUGCAGCAACGCCGCGUGCGGGAUGACGGCCUUCGGGUUGUAAACCGCUUUCGCCUGUGACGAAGCGUGAGUGACGGUAAUGGGUAAAGAAGCACCGGCUAACUACGUGCCAGCAGCCGCGGUGAUACGUAGGGUGCGAGCGUUGUCCGGAUUUAUUGGGCGUAAAGGGCUCGUAGGUGGUUGAUCGCGUCGGAAGUGUAAUCUUGGGGCUUAACCCUGAGCGUGCUUUCGAUACGGGUUGACUUGAGGAAGGUAGGGGAGAAUGGAAUUCCUGGUGGAGCGGUGGAAUGCGCAGAUAUCAGGAGGAACACCAGUGGCGAAGGCGGUUCUCUGGGCCUUUCCUGACGCUGAGGAGCGAAAGCGUGGGGAGCGAACAGGCUUAGAUACCCUGGUAGCCCACGCUGUAAACGGUGGGUACUAGGUGUGGGGUCCAUUCCACGGGUUCCGUGCCGUAGCUAACGCUUUAAGUAUCCCGCCUGGGGAGUACGGCCGCAAGGCUAAAACUCAAAGGAAUUGACGGGGCCCCGCACAAGCGGCGGAGCAUGCGGAUUAAUUCGAUGCAACGCGUAGAACCUUACCUGGGUUUGACAUGGAUCGGGAGUGCUCAGAGAUGGGUGUGCCUCUUUUGGGGUCGGUUCACAGGUGGUGCAUGGCUGUCGUCAGCUCGUGUCGUGAGAUGUUGGGUUAAGUCCCGCAACGAGCGCAACCCUUGUUCACUGUUGCCAGCACGUUAUGGUGGGGACUCAGUGGAGACCGCCGGGGUCAACUCGGAGGAAGGUGGGGAUGACGUCAAAUCAUCAUGCCCCUUAUGUCCAGGGCUUCACGCAUGCUACAAUGGCUGGUACAGAGAGUGGCGAGCCUGUGAGGGUGAGCGAAUCUCGGAAAGCCGGUCUCAGUUCGGAUUGGGGUCUGCAACUCGACCUCAUGAAGUCGGAGUCGCUAGUAAUCGCAGAUCAGCAACGCUGCGGUGAAUACGUUCCCGGGGCU
rnacentral:rRNA from 1 species